rnacentral:rRNA from 1 species
GAUGAACGCUGGCGGUAUGCUUAACACAUGCAAGUCGAACGGUCUCUUCGGAGAUAGUGGCGGACGGGUGAGUAACGCGUGAGAAUCUGCCUAGUGGUUCGGGACAACAGUUGGAAACGACUGCUAAUACCGGAUAUGCAGCAAUGUGAAAGAUUAAUUGCCACUAGAGGAGCUCGCGUCAGAUUAGCUAGUUGGUGUGGUAAGAGCGCACCAAGGCGACGAUCUGUAGCUGGUCUGAGAGGAUGAUCAGCCACACUGGGACUGAGACACGGCCCAGACUCCUACGGGAGGCAGCAGUGGGGAAUUUUCCGCAAUGGGCGAAAGCCUGACGGAGCAAUACCGCGUGAGGGAGGAAGGCUCUUGGGUUGUAAACCUCUUUUCUUAGGGAAGAACACAAUGACGGUACCUAAGGAAUCAGCAUCGGCUAACUCCGUGCCAGCCGCCGCAGUAACAC